AUAACAAUACAGGACUCUUUCGAGUCCCUGUAAUUGGAAUGAGUACACUUUAAAUCCUUUUACGAGGAUCUAUUGGAGGGGAAGUCUGGUGAGGCUGACCCGUGCGUGCUGCAGCUGAAACUCCAC
rnacentral:rRNA from 1 species